rnacentral:rRNA from 1 species
AGAGGAAGUAAAAGUCGUAACAAGGUUUCCGUAGGUGAACCUGCGGAAGGAUCAUUAACGAGUAAGGGGCUUCGUGCCCCGGGGGUUUCGACCCUCGACUCUUCACCCCGUGCGUACCUACCUUUGUUGCUUUGGCGGGCCUCGGUUCACGCCGACGUCGGCCUGGGGGUAACCCCGGGCUCGCGAGCGCCCGCCGGAGGCCAUCUUAAACUCUUUUAUCGGUGCGGUCUGAGGAUAAAUUCAAUAACUAAAACUUUCAACAACGGAUCUCUUGGUUCUGGCAUCGAUGAAGAACGCAGCGAAAUGCGAUAAGUAAUGUGAAUUGCAGAAUUCAGUGAAUCAUCGAAUCUUUGAACGCACAUUGCGCCCCUUGGCAUUCCGAGGGGCAUGCCUGUUCGAGCGUCAUUGCAAACCCUCAAGCACUGCUUGAUGUUGGACCUCGUCCCCCCGGACGGGCCCGAAAGUUAGUGGCGGUCCAGCUGAGACUUCGAGCGUAGUAAAUUUCAUCCCGCUUUGGAAGCCCUCGCUGCGGCCGGCCAGCCAACCCCCAAUUACUUCAAUGGUUGACCUCGGAUCAGGUAGGGAUACCCGCUGAACUUAAGCAUAUCAAUAAGCGGAGGAAAAGAAACCAACAGGGAUUGCCUCAGUAACGGCGAGUGAAGCGGCAACAGCUCAAAUUUGAAAUCUGACCCCUUCGGGGCCCGAGUUGUAAUUUGUAGAGGACGCUUCGGGUGCGGCGCCGGUCUAAGUUCCUUGGAACAGGACGUCAUAGAGGGUGAGAAUCCCGUAUGCGACCGGCGGUCAACCUCAUGUGAAGCCCCUUCGACGAGUCGAGUUGUUUGGG